rnacentral:rRNA from 1 species
AUUGAACGCUGGCGGCAUGCCUUACACAUGCAAGUCGAACGGCAGCAUGGAGAGCUUGCUCUCUGAUGGCGAGUGGCGAACGGGUGAGUAAUGCAUCGGAACGUACCGUGUAAGUGGGGAUACCGGAGCGAAAGUUACGCUAAUACCUCAUACGGCCGGAGGGUGAAAGCAGGGGAUCGCACUACCUUGCGUUAGACGAGGUGGCGAUGUCAGAUUAGCUAGUUGGUGAGGUAAAGGCUCACCAAGGCGACGAUCUGUAGCGGGUCUGAGAGGAUGAUCCGCCACACUGGGACUGAGACACGGCCCAGACUCCUACGGGAGGCAGCAGUGGGGAAUUUUGGACAAUGGGGGCGACCCUGAUCCAGCCAUGCCGCGUGAGUGAAGAAGGCCUUCGGGUUGUAAAGCUCUUUCGGCCGGGAAGAAAUCGCACAGGCUAAUACUCUGUGUGGAUGAUGGUACCGGCAUAAGAAGCACCGGCUAACUACGUGCCAGCCGCCGCAGUAA